rnacentral:rRNA from 1 species
GUAACGAAUCUUCCGCAAUGCGCGAAAGCGUGACGGAGCAAUGCCGCGUGCAGGAUGAAGCCCCUCGGGGUGUAAACUGCUGUCAGGGAUUAGGAACACAAUGACCAGUCCCAAAGGAAGAGACGACUAACUCUGUGCCAGCAGUCGCGGUAAUACAGAGGUCUCGAGCGUUAGUCGGAAUCACUGGGCUUAAAGCGUGCGUAGGCGGAUGUGCAGGCGUCGUGUGAAAGCCCUCGGCUCAACCGGGGAAUUGCACGGCGAACCGCACGUCUUGAGACAAGUAGGGGCGGUCGGAACGAUAGGUGGAGUGGUGAAAUGCGUUGAUAUCUAUCGGAACGCCAAAGGUGAAGACAGACCGCUGGGCUUGUUCUGACGCUGAGGCACGAAAGCGUGGGGAGCAAACGGGAUUAGAAACCCGGGUAGUCC